rnacentral:rRNA from 1 species
AUUGAACGCUGGCGGCAGGCUUAACACAUGCAAGUCGAACGAGUGGCGGACGGGUGAGUAAUGCUUGGGAACCUGGCUUAUGGAGGGGGAUAACUACUGGAAACGGUAGCUAAUACCGCAUACCAUCCGAUGAGCCCUGGUGGGAUUAGCUAGUAGGUGGGGUAACGGCUCACCAAGGCGACGAUCCCUAGCUGGUCUGAGAGGAUGACCGGCCACACUGGAACGGAGACACGGUCCAGACUCCUACGGGAGGCAGCAGUGGGGAAUAUUGCACAAUGGGCGCAAGCCUGAUGCAGCCAUGCCGCGUGUGUGAAGAAGGCCUUCGGAUUGUAAAGCACUUUCAUCAGGGAGGCGUUACCCGCAGAGGAAGCACCGGCUAACUCCGUGCCAGCAGCCGCGGUAAUUC